ACUAAGCGUACACGGUGGAUGCCCUGGCAGUCAGAGGCGAUGAAGGACGUUCUAAUCUGCGAUAAGCGUCGGUAAGGUGAUAUGAACCGUUAUAACCGGCGAUUUCCGAAUGGGGAAACCCAGUGUGUUUCGACACACUAUCAUUAACUGAAUCCAUAGGUUAAUGAGGCGAACCGGGGGAACUGAAACAUCUAAGUACCCCGAGGAAAAGAAAUCAACCGAGAUUCCCCCAGUAGCGGCGAGCGAACGGGGAGCAGCCCAGAGCCUGAAUCAGUGUGUGUGUUAGUGGAAGCGUCUGGAAAGGCGCGCGAUACAGGGUGACAGCCCCGUACACAAAAAUGCACAUGCUGUGAGCUCGAUGAGUAGGGCGGGACACGUGGUAUCCUGUCUGAAUAUGGGGGGACCAUCCUCCAAGGCUAAAUACUCCUGACUGACCGAUAGUGAACCAGUACCGUGAGGGAAAGGCGAAAAGAACCCCGGCGAGGGGAGUGAAAAAGAACCUGAAACCGUGUACGUACAAGCAGUGGGAGCACGCUUAGGCGUGUGACUGCGUACCUUUUGUAUAAUGGGUCAGCGACUUAUAUUCUGUAGCAAGGUUAACCGAAUAGGGGAGCCGAAGGGAAACCGAGUCUUAACUGGGCGUUAAGUUGCAGGGUAUAGACCCGAAACCCGGUGAUCUAGCCAUGGGCAGGUUGAAGGUUGGGUAACACUAACUGGAGGACCGAACCGACUAAUGUUGAAAAAUUAGCGGAUGACUUGUGGCUGGGGGUGAAAGGCCAAUCAAACCGGGAGAUAGCUGGUUCUCCCCGAAAGCUAUUUAGGUAGCGCCUCGUGAACUCAUCUCCGGGGGUAGAGCACUGUUUCGGCAAGGGGGUCAUCCCGACUUACCAACCCGAUGCAAACUGCGAAUACCGGAGAAUGUUAUCACGGGAGACACACGGCGGGUGCUAACGUCCGUCGUGAAGAGGGAAACAACCCAGACCGCCAGCUAAGGUCCCAAAGUCAUGGUUAAGUGGGAAACGAUGUGGGAAGGCCCAGACAGCCAGGAUGUUGGCUUAGAAGCAGCCAUCAUUUAAAGAAAGCGUAAUAGCUCACUGGUCGAGUCGGCCUGCGCGGAAGAUGUAACGGGGCUAAACCAUGCACCGAAGCUGCGGCAGCGACGCUGAUGCGUUGUUGGGUAGGGGAGCGUUCUGUAAGCCUGUGAAGGUGUGCUGUGAGGCAUGCUGGAGGUAUCAGAAGUGCGAAUGCUGACAUAAGUAACGAUAAAGCGGGUGAAAAGCCCGCUCGCCGGAAGACCAAGGGUUCCUGUCCAACGUUAAUCGGGGCAGGGUGAGUCGACCCCUAAGGCGAGGCCGAAAGGCGUAGUCGAUGGGAAACAGGUUAAUAUUCCUGUACUUGGUGUUACUGCGAAGGGGGGACGGAGAAGGCUAUGUUGGCCGGGCGACGGUUGUCCCGGUUUAAGCGUGUAGGCUGGUUUUCCAGGCAAAUCCGGAAAAUCAAGGCUGAGGCGUGAUGACGAGGCACUACGGUGCUGAAGCAACAAAUGCCCUGCUUCCAGGAAAAGCCUCUAAGCAUCAGGUAACAUCAAAUCGUACCCCAAACCGACACAGGUGGUCAGGUAGAGAAUACCAAGGCGCUUGAGAGAACUCGGGUGAAGGAACUAGGCAAAAUGGUGCCGUAACUUCGGGAGAAGGCACGCUGAUAUGUAGGUGAAGUCCCUCGCGGAUGGAGCUGAAAUCAGUCGAAGAUACCAGCUGGCUGCAACUGUUUAUUAAAAACACAGCACUGUGCAAACACGAAAGUGGACGUAUACGGUGUGACGCCUGCCCGGUGCCGGAAGGUUAAUUGAUGGGGUCAGCGCAAGCGAAGCUCUUGAUCGAAGCCCCGGUAAACGGCGGCCGUAACUAUAACGGUCCUAAGGUAGCGAAAUUCCUUGUCGGGUAAGUUCCGACCUGCACGAAUGGCGUAAUGAUGGCCAGGCUGUCUCCACCCGAGACUCAGUGAAAUUGAACUCGCUGUGAAGAUGCAGUGUACCCGCGGCAAGACGGAAAGACCCCGUGAACCUUUACUAUAGCUUGACACUGAACAUUGAGCCUUGAUGUGUAGGAUAGGUGGGAGGCUUAGAAGUGUGGACGCCAGUCUGCAUGGAGCCGACCUUGAAAUACCACCCUUUAAUGUUUGAUGUUCUAACGUUGACCCGUAAUCCGGGUUGCGGACAGUGUCUGGUGGGUAGUUUGACUGGGGCGGUCUCCUCCUAAAGAGUAACGGAGGAGCACGAAGGUUGGCUAAUCCUGGUCGGACAUCAGGAGGUUAGUGCAAUGGCAUAAGCCAGCUUGACUGCGAGCGUGACGGCGCGAGCAGGUGCGAAAGCAGGUCAUAGUGAUCCGGUGGUUCUGAAUGGAAGGGCCAUCGCUCAACGGAUAAAAGGUACUCCGGGGAUAACAGGCUGAUACCGCCCAAGAGUUCAUAUCGACGGCGGUGUUUGGCACCUCGAUGUCGGCUCAUCACAUCCUGGGGCUGAAGUAGGUCCCAAGGGUAUGGCUGUUCGCCAUUUAAAGUGGUACGCGAGCUGGGUUUAGAACGUCGUGAGACAGUUCGGUCCCUAUCUGCCGUGGGCGCUGGAGAACUGAGGGGGGCUGCUCCUAGUACGAGAGGACCGGAGUGGACGCAUCACUGGUGUUCGGGUUGUCAUGCCAAUGGCACUGCCCGGUAGCUAAAUGCGGAAGAGAUAAGUGCUGAAAGCAUCUAAGCACGAAACUUGCCCCGAGAUGAGUUCUCCCUGACCCUUUAAGGGUCCUGAAGGAACGUUGAAGACGACGACGUUGAUAGGCCGGGUGUGUAAGCGCAGCGAUGCGUUGAGCUAACCGGUACUAAUGAACCGUGAGGCUUAACC
rnacentral:rRNA from 1 species